CUCAAUCUGUCGAUCCCCUUCCUCGAAUUUCGGAAUCCUGAAGCGCGAGCAGUCGGCUUCCGCACCUGGUGCCAACGGCCUCGUCGAUCACCUGAUCUCUUCACUCGUGCGCGGUCGACGUUCUCGCACGCCUGCGAGGUCUUCUACUGGUGAGGAAGCGUCCGUAGACCGCUCGCUACCGAGAGGAUCCGGCUGCUCUGUCGCCGAGCAUGCGUCCCCGGGUCCCUCUGCCGCCAGAGCCAGGGCCACAUCCCGUUCUAGCGGUUGGCGAUCCUUGCCUCUUUGCCAUGGCAUGAGAGAGCUCUGCAGCGAUGGCCACGGCAUGAGAGGGGCCCUACCGUUUAGCUGCUGCCCUCUUCGCUGGGCCGUCCACAGCUUCUCUUCGCCCAUUAAUUGUGACGCUGCGCCUGUUUAUCUCCUCCCUCUUGAUCACUCACGGUCGAGAAUUAAGGCUGUGGCGAAGUGGGCGGUGGAUAACCUUGGAAGGCUAGCGACCGGAUAAUCCUGAUACAUUAUGCAUGUCCUUCCCAAAGGAGCUCUGCUGCCAAGCACCAUAAUCUCUACAAGAGCACAGGCUCAUAUAUGCAGGGAAAUAUCCUUUUUUUCAGUUACUUCAGAAAGGUUAACAGAUGAACGUGCAGGCAAGGUAUUGGAUCAACCCCAAUAAGAUGGUACUGGAGAUCCUGCAUGCUGAAUCCAGGUCCAAGCAGGAAAUGGCUCUGCUGCUUUGCCAAAACUUCAUCACUAUUUAAGCUCUCCACUCUAGAUGUUCAGGGUUCUGCAGAUAUCUAGGCUGGAAAGGGAAGAAUAUACGAAGUAGUACAAUCCUAACAUGCUACAUUGUGUUAAAAACAAAAACUACAUCUGUAGAAUUGAAUUGUAUAGCAGAAUUUACAUAAAUUAUCAUCUUAGUUCAAACUAAAUAUUAAUACGAAGGGAUAUUGUCCAAACUGAUAAAAUGUUCAUUAUAGUAACGCCUGAUUUUCAGUACGACUUGCCUGAACCUCACACUAACUGAUCAAAAUGUGCAUUCAUGACUAAACAAAGAAGAGGCUGCUCUCUGUUUCUCAGUCAUUCAACAAAGAGGUCGGCUGAUCAAGAGUUGUCUUAUUGCAACCAGCCAAUCUUAUAGAUAUUCUCUUAUCGUUUUAUGCAUAUGUAUGGCACAAAGUUAUUUAGUGAGGUGAAGUCUGAUCCUAAAAAUUGGGGAAGAUAGUUUUUAGAUGAGUUGAUGUCACUAUAUCAUAUAAUUUGAAACCAUAAUUGAAUGUAAUAUUUUAAUCUGUAAUUGUCCCUGUAUGCUCUUUUUGUUUGAUAAUUUGAGAAGUCAGAUUCCUUGGGUGUGCGCAAACGCGCCUCAUAAUCUAAUGUUGAGCAGUAUUCAUGUUAAUCAAUAUAUAGUAGGCUGCUUGGGCUCAUAUGUUCACACUUUUGGCUAGCAGCUACAAGGUUGCUUCUAUCACUUUGUCCGCUGUGGAUAAUAUCACGAGUAAAGCAGCACCAUCAAUGCCCAGUACAAGCCUACAAGGUAAUUUUAUCGUCAAUACAAGUGUCAGAAACCAUAUAAUGCUCACCAAUUUGUGGUUUAUCCUUUUAGACAAACUGACGUUUUGGUUUCUUACCGCAUAAAUGGAGCAGACCAAUGUCCUCUGCAAAUUUUAUUCAUAAUCUGCCUAUUCUAUAUAAUUCUAUAUCCACUGUUCAUUCAUUCUUCUUACUGCACAAUAAUCAUUUUGUACAAAUAAAUAUGUAGUAGCUUUUUGAUGUUCCUGCAAUAUUUGAAUAGAUGAGUGUAAAGGAAUAUGUUU